rnacentral:rRNA from 1 species
GCGGAGGAAAAGAAACUAACAAGGAUUCCCUUAGUAGCGGCGAGCGAACAGGGAAAAGCCCAGCACUGAAUCCCGUGGCCGGUAACGGACACUGGGAAAUGUAGUGUUUAGGAGAAUUCAUUUAUCCUGAAAUAUAUAUUAAUUUAAGUCCAGCUAGAACGUGGCCAUUUACCCAUAGAGGGUGAUAGGCCCGUAGGAUUUAUAAUAUGUUUCAGGGGGAAUUCUCCUUAGAGUCGGGUUGCUUGAGAGUGCAGCUCUAAGUGGGUGGUAAACUCCAUCUAAGGCUAAAUAUAACCACGAGACCGAUAGAAAACAAGUACCGUGAGGGAAAGUUGAAAAGAACUUUGAAGAGAGAGUUCAAUAGUACGUGAAACCGUUCAGGGGUAAACCUGAGACACCCGAAAGAUUCGAAAGAAUUGAUUCAAUGCCUGUCAUUAUUCGCUGUUCUUAAAUUUGUAUGAUGAUACGUGCAAAGUUGUCUACCCGUGGUAGUUAAUUUGUGUUACGGUCACAUCUGUUUUUGAACGAUAGCAAAUAUGAAGGUAUGUAUUUCAUUUCUAGUAGAACGUUGCGAUCUGUUAGAUGUUUAUUUUUAGGGCCUGAAAUGGUAGACUAUUUCUGUUGUAUUGGAAAUAUACCUUCGGUGUCCCGAUAAACUGUCUGAUGGUAUGAUUUGGUUUUAGUUGCCUGCGUGUUACGGGCGUUCAUUGUUUAUGUCAAGUAAGACGUGCAAUUCUGACUAUCGAAAUUUAUUUCGCUACCAGGUUCACGUUGGGCGAUGUUUACUUGUAAACGACAUUUGAACAAACUAAUUACCUAUCUGCAACGAUGGAGUUUUGGGUACUUUCAGGACCCGUCUUGAAACACGGACCAAGGAGUCUAGCAUGUGUGCAAGUCAUUGGGUUUAUACAAAAUCUAAAGGCAUAAUGAAAGUAAAGAUUUAUAUUAUAUAUAAAUUGAGGGAAGAUAGCCUAAUACUUAUUUAAAAGUAUGGCUCGCAUUCCCGGGACGUUCUCAAAUUAUAAUUUGCGAUAAACUGUAUUUUAUAUAGAGGCGUACCUAGAGCAUACACGCUGGGACCCGAAAGAUGGUGAACUAUGCCUGGUCAGGUCGAAGUCAGGGGAAACCCUGAUGGAGGACCGUAGCGAUUCUGACGUGCAAAUCGAUCGUCGGAACUGGGUAUAGGGGCGAAAGACUAAUCGAACCAUCUAGUAGCUGGUUCCCUCCGAAGUUUCCCUCAGGAUAGCUGGCAUUUGAUGAAACGAGUUUCAUCUGGUAAAGCGAAUGAUUAGAGGUCUUAGGGUCGAAACGACCUUAACCUAUUCUCAAACUUUAAAUGGGUGAGAUCUUUGACUUGCUUAAAUAUGAGUCAUAAGAUUUGAAUCGAAGUGCCUAGUGGGCCAUUUUUGGUAAGCAGAACUGGCGCUGUGGGAUGAACCAAACGCUAAGUUAAGGCGCCUAAACAACGCUUAUGGGAUACCAUGAAAGGUGUUGGUUGCUUAAGACAGCAGGACGGUGGCCAUGGAAGUCGGAAUCCGCUAAGGAAUGUGUAACAACUCACCUGCCGAAGCAACUAGCCCUGAAAAUGGAUGGCGCUAAAGUGUUGUGCCUAUACUUAGCCGUUAUAAUACGUAAAAUUGUUAUCUCUUUGCGGGGAUAACAAAAAAUAAUAUUAUAACGAGUAGGAGGGUCGCGAUGAUGUGCGCAGAAGGGUCUGGUCGUAAGACUGCCUGGAGCCAUCAUCGGUGCAGAUCUUGGUGGUAGUAGCAAAUACUCCAGCGAGGCCCUGGAGGACUGAUGUGGAGAAGGGUUUCGUGUGAACAGUUGUUGCACACGAGUCAGUCGAUCCUAAGCCCUAGGUGAAAACCGAAAGUUGAUGCGAUGUAAUAAUUUAAAACAUUAAAUAUACAUCCAUUGGGCGAAAGGGAAUCUGGUUCAUAUUCCAGAACCCGGUAGCGGAACCGUAUAUAAGUCGGGCCCUCGCAAUGAGAGUUCGUCGGGGUAACCCAAAAUGACUUGGAGACGCCGUCGGGAGAUCCAGAAAGAGUUUUCUUUUCUCUAUGAGCAUUCGAGUUCCCUGGAAUCCUUUAGCAGGGAGAUAGGGUUUGGAAUGCGAAGAGCACCGCAGUUACGGCGGUGUCUGGAUUUUCCCCUCGGACCUUGAAAAUCCAAGUGAGGGCCACGAUGAGAUGUCGCACCGGUUCGUACCCAUAUCCGCAGCAGGUCUCCAAGGUGAAGAGCCUCUAGUC